UGCAAGUCGAGCGAAGAGAUGGGAGCUUGCUCCCUGAUCUUAGCGGCGGACGGGUGAGUAACACGUGGGCAACCUGCCCUGCAGACUGGGAUAACUCCGGGAAACCGGAGCUAAUACCGGGUAAUACAUCGCACCGCAUGGUGCAAUGUUGAAAGUUGGCUUUCUGAGCUAACACUGCAGGAUGGGCCCGCGGCGCAUUAGCUAGUUGGUAAGGUAAUGGCUUACCAAGGCGACGAUGCGUAGCCGACCUGAGAGGGUGAUCGGCCACACUGGGACUGAGACACGGCCCAGACUCCUACGGGAGGCAGCAGUAGGGAAUCUUCCGCAAUGGACGAAAGUCUGACGGAGCAACGCCGCGUGAGUGACGAAGGCCUUCGGGUCGUAAAGCUCUGUUGUUAGGGAAGAACAAGUACCGUUCGAAUAGGGCGGUACCUUGACGGUACCUAACCAGAAAGCCACGGCUAACUACGUGCCAGCAGCCGCGGUAAUACGUAGGUGGCAAGCGUUGUCCGGAAUUAUUGGGCGUAAAGCGCGCGCAGGCGGUCUUUUAAGUCUGAUGUGAAAGCCCACGGCUCAACCGUGGAGGGUCAUUGGAAACUGGAGGACUUGAGUGCAGAAGAGGAGAGUGGAAUUCCACGUGUAGCGGUGAAAUGCGUAGAUAUGUGGAGGAACACC
rnacentral:rRNA from 1 species